UUUCCGGUUGAUCCCGCCGGACCUGACUGCUAUCGGAUUGAUACUAAGCCAUGCGAGUCUUUGUAGUAAUACAAGGCAUACGGCUCAGUAACGCGUAGUCAACCUACCCUAUGGACAAGAAUAAUCUCGGGAAACUGAGCAUAAUUCUUGAUAGAUCAUAAUGCCUGGAAUGGUUUAUGGUUAAAAUGAUUCGUCGCCAUAGGAUGGGACUGCGGCCUAUCAGCUUGUUGGUGAGGUAAUGGCCCACCAAGGCGAUAACAGGUACGGGCUCUGAGAGGAGAAGCCCGGAGAUGGGUACUGAGACAAGGACCCAGGCCCUAUGGGGCGCAGCAGGCGAGAAAACUUUGCAAUGUGCGAAAGCACGACAAGGUUAGUCCGAGUGAUUUCUGCUAAAGAGAUCUUUUGCUAGUUAUAAAACCACUAGUGAAUAAGGGGUGGGCAAGUUCUGGUGUCAGCCGCCGCGGUAAAACCAGCACCUCAAGUGGUCAGGAUGAUUAUUGGGCCUAAAGCAUCCGUAGCCGGCUCUGUAAGUUUUCGGUUAAAUCCAUACGCUCAACGUAUGGGCUGCCGAAAAUACUGUAGAGAUAGGGAGUGGGAGAGGUAGACGGUACUCGGUAGGAAGGGGUAAAAUCCUUUGAUCUAUCGAUGACCACCUGUGGCGAAGGCGGUCUACCAGAACACGUUCGACGGUGAGGGAUGAAAGCUGGGGGAGCAAACCGGAUUAGAUACCCGGGUAGUCCCAGCUGUAAACGAUGCAGACUCGAUGAUGCAUUGGCAUAUAGCCAGUGCAGUGUCGCAGGGAAGCCGUUAAGUCUGCCGCCUGGGAAGUACGUACGCAAGUAUGAAACUUAAAGGAAUUGGCGGGGGAGCACCACAAGGGGUGAAGCCUGCGGUUCAAUUGGAGUCAACGCCGGG
rnacentral:rRNA from 1 species